UACGUAGGGGGCGAGCGUUGUCCGGAAUUAUUGGGCGUAAAGGGCGCGCAGGCGGGGAUUUAAGUCUGAGGUGGAAGUUUGCGGCUUAACCGUAGAAUGGCCUUGGAUACUGGAUUUCUUGAGUCUGGGAGAGGGAAGCGGAAUUCCUGGUGUAGCGGUGAAAUGCGUAGAUAUCAGGAAGAACACCGGCGGCGAAGGCGGCUUCCUGGCCCGGAACUGACGCUGAGGCGCGAAAGUGCGGGGAGCGAACAGG
rnacentral:rRNA from 1 species